rnacentral:piRNA from 1 species
UCACGCUGAUGGAAGAGAUGUGUUCUCAU